rnacentral:misc_RNA from 1 species
GCUGUAGGUGCCAUUUUCAACAAAGUCUGUAGGAGUUCUAUGGGAAGCUCGUUUCCUUCAUGAAGUGCAUCACAAACUUCUUCUAUUGUAACAUUUAGUGCCCGCAGAAGAAUUGAUAAAUUUUGCGCCUUUUUGGUAUCAAGGAUCUGAAUAUAAUGAAAUGCAGAAUCAUGGGAGGAAGACUCUUUCUUGCGAUCACUUCUGUUUCUGUCAGUAGGUGCAUAUCCAAACAGUGUUUCUAUCAUCUCCUCAUUGAACUGAAAUGAUCCUGCUUUAAUCUGAUGCCAAACCAUUGAAUUAUCAGGAUUGGCUAGUACUUUAUCCCAGAAAAAUGGC